AAGGCCUUAGCUUAAUUAAAGCGUCUGAUUUGCAAUCAGGAGAUGUGAGUUAAUCCCUUAUAGGUCUUA
rnacentral:tRNA from 2 species